rnacentral:snoRNA from 1 species
AGAUCGAUGAUGCCACCCUCACAUGCGUCCCCGGAAAAAUAUGAACAAAAUGAGUGAGAAAUUUGAUUUACCAUUCUCCUCAUCAAACGAAGUCG